rnacentral:rRNA from 1 species
GACGUAGGGCGCGAGCGUGUCCGGAUUUAUUGGGCGUAAAGAGCUCGUAGGCGGCUUGUCGCGUCGACUGUGAAAUCCCGUGGCUCAACUGCGGGCUUGCAGCCGAUACGGGCAGGCUAGAGUUCGGUAGGGGAGACUGGAAUUCCUGGUGUAGCGGUGAAAUGCGUAGAUAUCGAGAGGAACACCUGCGGCGAAGGCGGGUUGCUGGGCUGAUACUGACGCUGAGG